rnacentral:sRNA from 1 species
CAUAAAUGUUAGCUGUUGUUAAUAGCAGUUACUUCUAAAAUAUAGUCCAUAAUGUUAUACUCCGAGACUGCCUGCAAAAUAUUUGUUUGCUACUUGAUUAGUCAAUUCAGGAGAAUAGGCAUGGAUAAUAUUUACUGACUUGGGUUGGAAUGGGUGAUGUUUUCCUCAAGAGAACAGUUGCCUCUUUCCGACUCCUGCACCUUCUCGAAGUCUCAUGUGCUUCUUUCAGGGCCAACUCAGUCACCUGGAACCCUCACAAGAUGAUGGGCGUGCUGUUGCAGUGCUCUGCCAUUCUCGUCAAGGAAAAGGUCUGUACUCCCUCCAAAGCUAUACUGGGGCCCAUACAUUCUUUAGAAAGCACAGAAAGAGACACACAUGGGGUCUCUUUGCAGUACUUGUUGGCUGACUCAGGAGAUUGGCAGCCCCACUGAGAGACUGCUGCUGCUGUCCUUUCCUGCCCUUGCAGCUAACCUGGUUUCUUCUCUUGGCUCUUGGGGCUACUGUGCUUCUUCCUUGAUCAGUACUCAGGGUCUGUCAGCAACUGAACCUUUAAGGGAAUUAUUUAAUUGAGUAUUCCUUCAUGUUUGCACAAAAAAAGUGAGAGCAAGUAGGUGAGGCAUCCAAUCAGUUUUGUCCUCAGUGAGGACAAAAAGCACUCACUGGAGCAUACUCGGAGUUCUUAGUAUAAAUGUGUGGUCCCAAGAACUGAAAUAAAUAAGACAGAACAACAACUACAAAUAUCAACUUAGGGCCACAAGGAAUAUUGCCCCAAAAGCUGCUGUAAAUGGUUGAGCGUCAUAUUCCCUUCUUCACAUGCCUAAUGUUAGGACCCUGCCCUCCAAGGCUUUGUUGCUCCAGUAAGACUUCUGCACACAGAAGCAUUCCAGAAAGUCUGUCUCCAGCCUGUAGGAGCCAGAAUCUGCACAGCCUCUUUAGUCCACUCAUAUGUGGAAUCCAUAUUAAUGUCAUAGGAGGUCCUGGAAAGGUUGGAAGACUUCUGCCAGAGCGCUUUUGGAGAGAAAAAUUCUUCACAGCAUGAAACUAUCCCACCCACUGAGGAAUUUUCUAUCUCUAACCCCGGCCCACUGAAUGCCGUAGCACUUCCCAAUCUUGAAACAAUCCCAGACACCCAUACAUGUUUCCCCUUAGAGGGAUGGCAUCUGAGAUGGAAAGAUCAUUUUCUAAUCAGAGAGUCAGAGACAAAGGGAUGGCAGUUUUUCCAAGAGUGAUUUUAGAAAAGGGCAUCAGAACAAGUGUAAGGCCUCAUAAAGACAUCAGAAGAAAGAUUGCAUAUGACCCCAAGCCCCUCCUUCCAAGCCAGCCUGGUUUUAAAGCCACCCACAUCUCUGAUGUGUAAAUGCAGAUGCACCCAUCUUAAUUUCCAUGACAGGGUAUACUCCAAGGAUGCAACCAGAUGUGUGCAGGAUACCUCUUCCAGCCAGACAAGCAGUAUGAUGUCUCCUAUGACACCGGGGACAAGGCAAUUCAGUGUGGCCGCCACGUGGAUAUCUUCAAGUUCUGGCUGAUGUGGAAAGCAAAGGGCACAGUGGGAUUUGAAAACCAGAUCAACAAAUGCCUGGAACUGGCUGAAUACCUCUAUGCCAAGAUUAAAAACAGAGAAGAAUUUGAGAUGGUUUUCAAUGGCGAGCCUGAGCACACAAACGUCUGUUUUUGGUAUAUUCCACAAAGCCUCAGGGGUGUGCCAGACAGCCCUCAACGACGGGAAAAGCUACACAAGGUGGCUCCAAAAAUCAAAGCCCUGAUGAUGGAGUCAGGCACGACCAUGGUUGGCUACCAGCCCCAGGGGGACAAGGCCAACUUCUUCCGGAUGGUCAUCUCCAACCCAGCCGCUACCCAGUCUGACAUUGACUUCCUCAUUGAGGAGAUAGAAAGACUGGGCCAGGAUCUGUAAUCAUCCUUUGCAGAACAUGAGUUUAUGGGAAUGCCUUUUCCCUCUGGCACUGCAGAACAAACCUCUAUAUGUUGCUGAAACACAUAGGCCAUUUCAUUGAGGGAAAACAUAAUAUCUUGAAGAAUAUUGUUAAAACCUUACUUAAAGCUUGUUUGUUAUAGUUAGCAGGAAAUAGUGUUCUUUUUAAAAAGUUGCACAUUAGGAACAGAGUAUAUAUGUACAGUUAUACAUACCUCUCUCUAUAUAUACAUGUAUAGUGAGUGUGGCUUAGUAAUAGAUCACAGCAUGUUUCCCGCUCCAAGAGAAUUCACUUUACCUUCAGCAGUUACCGAGGAGCUAAACAUGCUGCCAACCAGCUUGUCCAACAACUCCAGGAAAGCUGUUUUUCAAAACGCCAUGUCCUAGGGGCCAAGGGAAAUGCUGUUGGUGAGAAUCGACCUCACUGUCAGCGUUUCUCCACCUGAAGUGAUGAUGGAUGAGAAAAAACACCACCAAAUGACAAGUCACACCCUCCCCAUUAGUAUCCUGUUAGGGGAAAAUAGUAGCAGAGUCAUUGUUACAGGUGUACUAUGGCUGUAUUUUUAGAGAUUAAUUUGUGUAGAUUGUGUAAAUUCCUGUUAUCUUCUGACCUUGGUGGUGGGAGGGGGAGACUAUGUGUCAUGAUUUCAAUGAUUGUUUAAUUGUAGGUCAAUGAAAUAUUUGCUUAUUUAUAUUCAGAGAUGUACCACGUUAAAGAGGCGUCUUGUAUUUUCUUCCCAUUUGUAAUGUAUCUUAUUUAUAUAUGAAGUAAGUUCUGAAAACUGUUUAUGGUAUUUUUGUGCAUUUGUGAGCCAAAGAGAAAAGAUUAAAAUUAGUGAGACUUGUAUUUAUAUUAGAGUGCCCUUAAAACAAUGAUUUAAGCAUUUUACUGUCUGUAAGAGAAUUCUAAGAUUGUACAUAGAGUCAUAUAUAUGGAAAUCCUGUUACUUAAAUAGCAUCUGCUCUUCUCUUACCCUCUCUGUCUGGCUGUACGUGUGGUGUUCUCAAUGCUUUUCUAGUAACUGUUGGAUAAUAACUAGAUCUCCUGUAAUUUUGUAGUAGUUGAUGACCAAUCUCUGUGACUCUCUUAGCUGAAACCUAAGGCAACAUUUCCGAAGACCUUCUGAAGAUCUCAGAUAAAGUGACCAGGCUCACAACUGUUUUUGAAGAAGGGAAAUUCACACUGUGCGUUUUAGAGUAUGCAAGAAGAACAUAAAUAAAUAAAAAUAUUCUCCAUGGAGAAUUUGAAC